GACGAACGCUGGCGGCGUGCUUAACACAUGCAAGUCGAACGGAAAGGCCCUGCUUUUGUGGGGUGCUCGAGUGGCGAACGGGUGAGUAACACGUGAGUAACCUGCCCUUGACUUUGGGAUAACUUCAGGAAACUGGGGCUAAUACCGGAUAGGAGCUCCUGCUGCAUGGUGGGGGUUGGAAAGUUUCGGCGGUUGGGGAUGGACUCGCGGCUUAUCAGCUUGUUGGUGGGGUAGUGGCUUACCAAGGCUUUGACGGGUAGCCGGCCUGAGAGGGUGACCGGCCCAAUUGGACUAGGGGAGGGGCCCGGACGCCAGGGGGGGGAAGGGGGGGGAAAUUGUGCAAAAGGGGCGGAGGGCGGGAAGAACAACGCCGGGGGGGGAAGCACGGCUUUGGGGUUAGAAACGCUUUUGGCUUGUAACAAGGGGUGGGGACGGGAAAUGGGGAAAAAGCAACGGCUAACUUAGUG
rnacentral:rRNA from 1 species